rnacentral:rRNA from 1 species
GACGAACGCUGGCGGCGUGCUUAACACAUGCAAGUCGAACGGUAAGGCCCUGCUUUUGUGGGGUGCUCGACUGGCGAACGGGUAAGUAACCCGUGAGUAACCUGCCCUUGACUUUGGGAUAACUUCAGAAAACUGGGGCUAAUACCGGAUAGGUGCUCCUGCUGCAUGGUGGGGGUUGGAAAGUUUCGGCGGUUGGGGAUGGACUCGCGGGUUAUCAGCUUGUUGGUGGGGUAGUGGCUUACAAAGGCUUUGACGGGUAGCCGGCCUGAGAGGGUGACCGGCCCCAUUGGGACUGAGAUACGGCCCAGAGUCCUACUGUAGGCAGCAGUGGGGAAUAUUGCACAGUGGGCGGAAGCCUGGUGCAGCGACGCCGCGUUCGUGAUGACGGCCUGCGGGGUGUAAACCGCUUUCGCCUGUGACGAAGCGUGAGUGACGGUAAUGGGUAAAGAAGCACCGGCUAACUACGUG